AUGGCAUCUCAGGAAGAGACGGGCGGAUCGCGCCCAAGGAAGGAACCGAUCGAUGAUCUUCUAAAGCGCCUGGAUCUGCAGGAAGAAGAAGAGGAGAACUUCGUCUGGGAGGAGGAAUUCCAGGAAAAUCAGGUGGAGGCGAAGUGGAUCACGAUUGCAAAAGUCCAUAUAGAUAAGGGCUUUAGUCCAUCUGCCCUUUACUCGCAUAUGAGAUCCGCCUGGAAUCCGGCGAAGGAGCCGCGAUGGCGCAGGAUUGAGGAUAACCUAUUCACGGUUCAGUUUGGUUGCCUGGGUGACUGGAACAUGGCGAUGAACAUGGGGCUGUGGCUCUUCCGUGACCAUGGGCUUCUGAUUGCGGAAUAUGAUGGGUUCACGAACCCUACUUCUGUAGUACUGGACAAAAUUGUGGUAUGGGCAAGAAUCUUGAAGCUGCCUGAUAACUAUCUAAUUCCUGCAGCAAUUAAGGGGAUGUGUAGGAAGAUGGAGAAGAUCUUAGAGAUUCAAACUACCCUACCGGCGGGUUUUGCAGGCGAAUUUGUUCGAAUCAGAGUGGAACUUAAUGUCACAAAAAAGCUGAUUCGGUUUGUUGGGAUCACAAAGAAGGGAGUCACAGACUAUUACCAAGUUCAAUAUGAGAAGCUACCUAUCUUCUGUGGAUAG
rnacentral:rRNA from 1 species